UCCCGGUUGGCCCGGGCAGUCUUGCCUGAAAAAUUCAACAGACAAUAAGGGUUGCGCUCGUUGCGGGACUUAACCCAACAUCUCACGACACGAGCUGACGACGACCAUGCAACACCUGUCACUAGGCUCCCGAAGGCACAGCACUGUUUCCAGCGCCUUCCUAGGAUGUCAAGCCUUGGUAAGGUUCUUCGCGUAGCGUCGAAUUAAACCACAUCAUCCACCGCUUGUGCGGGUCCCCGUCAAUUCCUUUGAGUUUUAGCCUUGCGGCCGUACUCCCCAGGCGGCAUAUUUAACGCGUUAGCUUCUCAGCACAGGGGGUCGAUACCCCAUACUAAUAAUAUGCAUCGUUUACGGCGUGGACUAC
rnacentral:misc_RNA from 1 species